AUGACCAACAUCAUCAUCCUCAUCUGGACACUGACUCUUGGCAUUCAAGAGAUCUGGGGACAAGUGACAGUGACUCAGAAUCCAGAAAUAAAAUCCAUCAAACAAGGAGAAACUGUUACAAUCUGCUGUAAAACCAGUCAGUUUACGUCUAACUGUAAUGACUGUGUGUCUUGGUAUAAGCAGAAAGCUGGAGAAGCUCCUAAACUCCUCAUAUAUUACAUAAACAGACUUCAGUCAGGAACUCCAUCCAGAUUCAGUGGCAGUGGAUCUAGAUAUGGAAGUGAUUUCACUCAGACCAUCAGUGGAGUCCAGACUGAAGAUACAGGAGAUUAUUACUGUCAGAGUUACCACUACAUCAACAGUAAAAGUGUGUGCACAUUCGGUGGAGGAACUAAACUGGUGGUGAAAUCUGGUCCCACAGUGAAGCCCUCAGUGUCUCUGCUGCCGCCCUCUUCUCUGCAGAUCUCUGGAGACUCAGCCGCACUGCUCUGCCUGCUCAGCUCUUACUCUCCACAGGGGGCGCUGGUGAGCUGGACACUGGACGGCUCAGAGGUCACCGAGGGGGUUGUGACCAGCGCAGAGAGCGAGCAGGACGGCCGCUACAGCCGCAGUAGCGUCCUGACCCUCAGCAAAGCACGCUGGGAAGAGGGAGAGCUGUACGUCUGCAGAGUAACACAUGAUGGAGCUCCUCAUGAGGCCUCGUUCCACAAGAGUCGCUGUUAGUCGCUCGCAGUGCUGAUGUUUCUCCAGUGAGCGCUGCUCUCUCCUGAAGAUGAGCGUAUCUGAGUGUCCUGUGUCAGGCAGGAUUCACAUGAGUCUAGUGCUGCAGCUGUAGUCAUUUACAACUCAAUACUGAAAGAGAGCUCUAGUGUCAAAGCACUGGCUGAUCUUUCAAUCUGCUGUGUUUGCUGCAACAUUCAAUAAAGCUUCUCAACAAA